CUCACAUGUGACCUCAAAGCGGGUUUUGUUAGAUCUCCCACACGACAUAUCAGAAAACGGGAGCUAUCAGAGAUUGGUUUUUAAUAGACCACUUUCGAGUUCAUCCGUCACCGGAAAAAACUCGUCAAUUAUACGCGCCUUUAUGACGUCAUUUACCAGAUAGAGGGGGUCGCCUGUAUCCCUGCACUAUUUAAGUUCAUCAAGCGUCUUAGUGAUCGUCAUUGUGCAGGAUAAACUAGAAAUAAUGG
rnacentral:lncRNA from 1 species